CAGGUACUCUGAGAUUGCCGACCAGGCGUUGAACAAGAAGGCCUGGGAAUGCCCAAAGUGCCAAAAUAUUUGCAACUGCAGCAUUUGCAUGAAGAACAAAGAGGAGGUGCCCAUGGGGCCAAUGGUCCGUCCUGGCAGGAAGCGGAAAGGCAGUGUCGAUGACACUCCUGCUAAUAAGAAGCCCCGGUUGGGGACUGAGAAUGGCACUCCUGCUAAUAAAAAUUACCCCUUGGAAGCUGAGAACACAUAUGCCCCUGAGGAUCGUAUUGAUCUACCCAGGGGUACUCUUGUGACUUGUGUUGCAGGUAUAGAGUUGCAGCCUGAAGAUGUUGGAGCUGCCAUUCAAUUUUUGGAGUUCUACCGCUUAUUUGGCGAGAUCUUGGAAAUAAGGGAGGGACAACCAGAACAAACUGUCUAGGAAAUAACUGGAGGUUGUCAACUUGGAGAGGUGCCUUCAGUUGUUUCUGACCUUCACAUAAGUCUGUUAUCUAAGAUAGAAAGAGGUAAAGCCAAUAUCCAGCACACGGAAAUGAAUGGAUAAGAAAGUCGGUGAAUAUUUCGCUGACUCGACAUAAGGUGCCAAUGAUUUGACCCUUAACUGCUUAAACCAGGGGGGAUCAGGAUAUAAAAAUUUGACCCCUCUUGUAAGCUGGACCUGCUGAAUCGUCUGUGUGAUGAGGCAUUAUCUUCUGAACCGGAACAUAGACAAUCUGAGGCCAGAGAAAAGAUCCAUGCUGCAACCAAAAAGGGAAAGUUGCUACAAAAAAUUCAGAAGGAUCUAAACCAGUGGAAGGAGGAGAAACCGCUAGCAAUGAGAACGCUUAAAAUAUUAUUUCUCAAAUAAAGGAGGCAGAUGGAGUGAAGAUUUCAGCGAUUAAUGGUCUCUUACAGUAUGACUUAAUAUUUACCCUUUCGGCCUUUCCCGUAUUAAAACUAUUUAGCUUUGUACAUUUGUUCAGUCCUUAAUAUGUUUAAUACCAUGCACUUUUAUUUAAUAUUUUUUUCAUAUUAUAUAUAGUUUACCAUUCUUCGUAAGCUUUAGCUUGAGUUUGUAUUUGGAAAAAUAGUCAUCAACCCAUGGACAGGUUGAGGCAUAGAGCAAAUGCUCGGAAAUUAAGCCUUGACCCGGCUUGAUCAAUAUUAAUGCCUUGACCCGGCUUAAUCUCCGAGCAUUUUUUGCGUCACAAAAAUGCUCGGAAAUUAAGCCGGGUUAAUGCAUUAAUAUUGAUCAAGUUGUCAAAAGGGGAGAUACACGUUAAAAAUGCAAAUCAUGAAUUUGAUAUGUUUGAUGCAAAAAAUCCAUCUUAAAUCGGUAUAGAAAUAAUUGAUCAUUGCUUAUAGGUAAUAAGUUAGAACCGGCGCAAGCACGAGGCACAUAUUUAUUGGGACUUAGCACGAUCUUUCAUUGACAACAUUUAGUUCUGCAAAAGCAUUGUUCGGCCAUCAAGAUCAAGUAUGAUGGAUUAUUGAGAGUCUAUGAUUUUAUUUUUCAUUUAAUGUAAUCAUUUACUUGAAUUAUUUUAUCAUCAUAAUUAGCAUACUGCGGACCAUGGAGUCGAUACUGGCUGGUAGAUUUAUUUUCAGAAUGUGAAGUUGUGAACUAACUAAAAAAAUAAAAGGUACCUUGUUACAUUUAUUUACAUCAAAAGGGAGCCUAAUUCAGUUGGUGGAAGGUAUGCAUGGAAUCAUGUACCCACCAACUCCCCUUUUUAUUUGUGAACUAGGGUGCCUCUCUUAUUCUAUUAAAAAGAUCCCUAUGUCCUCCUAGAUAUUUUUGUUCUUCUGUGUAUUAUGUAAAGCUUUGUUAAGAAAAUAAGGUAUUGAGCUAGCUGAUGUGACUUAAUUAAUUUAUUUAUUUCCCAACUGUGAGAGAACUAGAAGAGCUGGAACGUGCCAUUAAGGCCGCGCCUAUUAGGCUGGACAAUGGAGUAGCAUACUGGAAACUAGAUGGCUAUUGUAUUAACAAUACAAACAUUAUGCGCCAAGAGUUUGACUAUGAAAAUACAGUGAUGAACAAAGACAAGUGGUUUAUGUUCACUGACGAGGAGCAGUAAAUUAUAAAAGAUCAUUUAGCUAAAAGGUCCCAGCAUCCAUCAAGAAAUCAAAACCAGGAGUAAUGAUUUACUGAUCCCAGUCCCCUGCUCUUUCAACUGGUUAAUGGUUAUCCGGCGAGCUGCUCAUUCAAUUCACCAAUGGGUUUUCCUUCUCCUGGUGGAGCAGCGGGAGGAUAUGGUUAUUGGAUGCUACCGGAUGCUAGUGGUUGCUCAGGACUUCUUUUUCCAGGCUACUGGGUGGCGGCAUCUUAAUAGAAUAGCAAAUGAAUAGCUUUUCUGAGUGACAUAUUUUCAGCGGGUUGAUUCGUGUAUCGAUCCUAGCUUUUCCGUGAUUGUAAUAAGUGAUGAUAGAUUUAUUGUGACUUGAUACUUUGUUUUAAUAAAGCAACCCGUGUGCAUC